AACUGCCAACACCUGCUUACUACGCGCCGGAGAACACGUAGACCCAGCACACAAAACACAAAAACAGGAUUGUCAUGCGGCUACUGAACAGAUAAAAUUUUUUAAGAAAUAGGCUAGUUCUUGAUCACGUUAUGGACGUCCCAAAUGAAGUAGGCUACUAUUAAAGGAGGGUGUAAACACUUUUCUUUUGCUACGGAUUAAAUGUUGACGUGCUCUGCUGGAUUUAGACGAAAAGUGUGUUUCUGUGGACAUUGCUUUAAUUCAUCCUUGUGGAUCUUAAAGCUAAUAACACGGUGCUUAUUAAAAGAAGGAAAAAUUAGAGGAGACAAAUGAAGAGGAGGAGGGAUGAACAUUCACAAGCCGGAGGAUCAAAACCAGCAAAUCUGGAGGAUCUUGUUAAAAGGAACAGUAUGGAACUUCCUGCGACUCUGAAAUUCUCUCAGGAUGCAGACAGACCAGAGAGACAUUUUGAAGUAUCAGAAUCAAAGACGAGAUCAUCUGAACACCAACCAGACAAAUCUCUAUGAAUCUCUCACGUUUCUUCAGAUGGAGCUGAAAUUGCUAAGUGUUUCCAGGCCUGGCUCCAUCCAAGCAGGAGUAUCAAAAAUUCACGUUUAUUUAGAAAGUAGAAAGCAUGUAAGUCUUGCCAGUUUACUGUAAAGGAAUUUUCCAUAUUGAUUUUUUUUUACACGUGUUUUAUUUUGCAAUUCUAUUUUGUGUUUUAGGGUUAAUGGAAAUGUUUGUAAAAUUAAUGGAUAAUGUCCUAGCAGAAAAUUGAAUAUUACUAGUAUAUUUUUUGUGUUGUUGUUGUUGUUGUUGUUGUUGUUGUUGUUGUUGUUGUUGUUGUUGUUUUAACAGUGUUUUGGCUGUUUUCUGUGCACACACAGAGAGCACAUAUCAGACAUUACUGAACUUAUCUUAACUGAGUUACAAUAAAAUGUCUUAAAGAAUGUAACUAGUUGGGAGAACAGAGACAGAGACAACAGCUUUAUAAACCUGCUGCUGUCUUGUGUCAUUAAUGUUUAUUGAAAAAAAAAUCUGAAGCUAAUUUAAGAUUCAUUUUAACACUAAUUUUAAUCUUAUAUCUUUAAUAAGGAUUAAGCUAUAUUUAAUUUAUCAUUAUAGUAUUUCAUACCUAAAUAUACUGCUAAACUUACAGCAGUUUUGCUUUCAUUUGUAUCCUUGUUCAGCUGUAUUUAUUUGCACUAUUGCUUGUAAUUUAUUCAUUAAUUGUUUUUCUUUUAUUACUGACUUGUCUUUUUAAUUUUUUUUCUUUAUUUUAUUUUAUUGCCCACCAGGAAUGUUCAUUGGUCCCACCUUACAUGUAUUCAAAUAUAUUGUGUGCAUGUAAAUAUUGUGUAUACUGUAUGUACAAUCUGCUUUAGAAAUUUGUUAUAAAGAGUAACUUUGUUGUAAAGAUGUAAAAUGUAACUGCAGUAUAUUGAUGCGUAAUGCCACAGGAUGAAGUAUCAAAUAUGACAGAUGCUCUUCGUUAUACAGUAGGUCACGUGAUUAAAGACAGAAUGUUUUCCGGUCCGUUGAUGAUAACACAUCAUGUGUAACUAGUGUAUAUUUCUAUACUUUAUCAUAAAUCUGAUUUUAAACCUUUUAGAGAAGUAUGUGUCUUUGACAUAAAAACAUCUGAUGACAGCUAUAAAUAAUUUUUUUUUCUCACUGAUUGCUUCAUGACAGUGAUAAAGGAUGAAAUAUCUGAUAAUUCUACAGCUGAUCAUUUCUUUAUUAUAUGAUCAUUAUUCAUCAUCAGUACAAAAACAAACUGUUUUGAACUGUUUGAAAGAGUGAGUCUGAGGACCACAAGUAUCUAUUUAAAGUAUGAUUCAACCAAAAAUAAAAUCUUAUCAUAAUUUC